rnacentral:rRNA from 1 species
GGGGCGGUGGGCGUUGUUUGCCGUAACGAGGUUGGUCAUUUUAUUGGCGCCUCAGCGGUAGUUUUUAAGGGUAUCACCGAGCCCUCGACACUCGAAGCGUGUGCAUGCAGGGAGGCCCUCGCCCUCGCCGAGGAUUUGGUCGUGAACAAAGUUCGCAUUGCAUCGGACUGUCUGAGAGUCAUAAACGACCUGAAGAAUCCAGGCCAUCUCGGGGAGUAUUGCAUGAUUGUGCAGGAGAUUAACGACAAGAAGCGGAAUUUCCAGAGCUGUGAGCUCAUCCACGAGCAUCGCGCCAAUAAUGGUGAGGCACAUAGACUAGCUAGAAUGGCUACUACUCUUGAGAGUGAUCGACAUGUGUGGCUCAUUGAUCCUCCGGAUCACCUUUGUAUCCCUUUGAAUUUUGACACAUGA